CACAGAGGCGCAACAGCCGCAACGCCAUCCAAUUAUUGCCGGUCGUCCCCUCCAACACCGCUCUCCACCUAUAUACUCCUUUCUCUGCCCAUCUCCACUUCCCCCCACCCACUUUUCUCAGAGCGGACCGACCUACCUAUUCCUUCUCAGCCCGUCUCCGCUUCCCCCCACCCACUUUCCUCAGAGCGGUCGGAGCCGAGGGGGCGGGGGCUCCCUCCCGGGAGCGUUUCUAGAGCUCGGAGGCAGCUAGUAGGGGUUUUAUUGUCCACAUGUUUAAAGUCUAAUAGAAAAAAAAAUCACCGGAUGUGAAGUUGGGGGAUAGAGCCAAGUCUACAUCUACAUCCUCACGUUGGUGACCUUGGGGCACCACUUUCAGAUAAAAACAUAGACCUGAAUGGCAUCAUCCAGUAUCCAAGGAAACCAUUACAGCCUUCUGCCUGGAGAUGCUCUCCUUCUUCCAAGACUGAUUCGAUGACUGCUUUUAGAAUUUCAAUCUGUAGAAGAGACUCAAUAGCUGUAAAGGAUGGAAAGGUGCAAAGCAGCUUGGAACUCACAACAAAAGGAAACCAGGACAAAAAAUUUAGAUAAAACAACUUGUGACCAUGGGAUCUGCUCCUUGUGUCUACUGAACAGAGCCCCAUAACAGGCUGGAGAAAGAGGUUUCUGCAAAUGCUCAGUGGGGACAGUGUUCCUGCUCAGUUCCUGCUUCUGUUGAAAAGUUACCGUGCAGGUGACAAUCUUCUGUUCUCUCUCCUGAGAAGAGAUAUGCCUGAGUUCUUACAGUACCCUGAGACAUAAUUCACCAUGGCCAGAAUGGAUUUGCUGUACAUAGGAGUCAUCCUUCUAACCUGCCAUGUCCAUAGGUCUCUAAGUCCACUGAUGACAGGAAAAUCUUCAGUGGUUCCAGAGACAAGCUGCUGGAAAUCCUGCACAUUUAUCUUCUAGAAGGAAGUGAGCUGAUUAGGAUAGUGGUCCCUUCAGAAAGAACCUCCCCCCCAAAACUUUAAAGGACUCCAAAUUAAGCCAUGUCCAUUUCUGGGACCCUAAAGUGGCUCAUGAAAGUCAAGGACUACUUGCUUAAUAUUAGGUGAUUUCAAAAGCCUUAAGAUUCUAAGGGGAGAGUGAGGAUGGGGAAGGUGAUGGUGAAUAAAUUGGAGAACCUACCAAAUAACAGGGUGUCUCUUUAUUCCAAGCA